rnacentral:rRNA from 1 species
UACGAAGGGGGCUAGCGUUGUUCGGAUUUACUGGGCGUAAAGCGCACGUAGGCGGAUCGAUCAGUCAGGGGUGAAAUCCCAGAGCUCAACUCUGGAACUGCCUUUGAUACUGUCGAUCUGGAGUAUGGAAGAGGUGAGUGGAAUUCCGAGUGUAGAGGUGAAAUUCGUAGAUAUUCGGAGGAACACCGGUGGCGAAGGCGGCAUCCUGGACCGAUACUGACGCUGAGGAGCGAAAGCCAGGGGAGCAAACGGG